rnacentral:rRNA from 1 species
GAUGAACGCUAGCGGCAGGCCUAAUACAUGCAAGUCGAACGGGAUCCAGAUCAAAGCUUGCUUUGGUUUGGUGGGAGUGGCGUACGGGUGCGUAACGCGUGAGCAACCUACCCUUGUCAGGGGGAUAGCCCGGCGAAAGUCGGAUUAAUACCGCAUGACAUCAUUGAGAGGCAUCUUUCGAUGAUCAAAGAUUUAUCGGACAAGGAUGGGCUCGCGUGACAUUAGCUAGUUGGUAAGGUAACGGCUUACCAAGGCUACGAUGUCUAGGGGCUCUGAGAGGAGAAUCCCCCACACUGGUACUGAGACACGGACCAGACUCCUACGGGAGGCAGCAGUAAGGAAUAUUGGUCAAUGGACGGAAGUCUGAACCAGCCAUGCCGCGUGCAGGAAGACGGCCCUAUGGGUUGUAAACUGCUUUUAUACGGGAACAAACGUCGGUACGUGUACCGGUCUGAGUGUACCGUAAGAAUAAGGAUCGACUAACUCCGUG